UUAAUGUCGUUGUUCUUCGAAAAAGAUUCGUAAUUCAUAUCAAAUCUUGAUCUCAUUUGAUGUUGAUUUCUUCAUUUCUUCUUCUUUUUCCGUUCUCUAGGUUUCAUAUAUCUAUGGAAAUAUCAUAUUUAGUUCAUUCAACUCCAUUUAGCCCUUAAUAUUUCCUUACAUCAAGUAUUCUUCAUUUCAUUUACGAAAAUCUAUGAUUGUCCUUGUUGUUUAAUUUCGCUGAAUAUGUAAAUCUCAAAAGUGAGUUUAAUUACAAAGAAAAUCUGAUUGCAUCUGUUAAGAAAAGUAAUAAGUUCCAUAACUAAUUUCAAUUAUUUGUUAAUUUUAUCUUUCAAUUGCCAAUAUAUGUGAAUUUAGUCUCAUAUCUCUAUUUGGAUCUACUAUGUUAAAAUCCGCUUAAAUCUCAAUUUUUAUAACUUCCGUGUGUGAGAAUCUAUUUGGUCAAUUAUUUUUGAUUGAUAUCAAGAGUUCUGAAAAUUGUUCCAUUCAUUUGUAGUUGGUUUCACAAGAUAAUCAACCGAAAAAUAAUAAACCAUUUUUACAAAUUUUGUUUUCAUUAGAAUCCAUUCCAGAAACUUCUCAUAGAUUUUCUAAAUUUUUAUCUCCUAACUGUACAAUUUUCAAAUUGUAAUUUGCAGAAAUCUGAAGUGAUUGUUAUCAAUGAAGAAGAAGUGAUUGUUAUCAAUGGAGAAGAACUUGGUUGCUUUUCCUGAAAAAGCUGAAGUUGGAGUGUAUGAUAAAUAUCCUUCACAUUUAUGGGAACCUGUCAUUGCUUCCGAAGAUCGCGAUUUCGACGUUACGGUGUUGAUUUUAUUGGUAUUACUUGUGCGGUUUCAUUUUGGUUUAGUAAGGGAGGUGGGAGUACUAGUACUCAAUAGUUUGGCAGUUUGUGAAAAACACCCUAUCACGGAAGGCUGUUGAGAUAGUAUUGGCGAUCUUAUUGGGGACAAGGAUUUCUAGAUGGAAAGUUCUUGGAUCACAUAUGAGUAAGUUUGUGAAAAACACCCUAUCACGGAAGGCUGUUGAGAUAGUAUUGGCGAUCUUAUUGGAGACAAGGAUUUCCAGAUGGAAAGUUAUUGGAUCACAUAUGAGUAAGAUUUUUUGAUUGGCUCGGGUAACUCACCUGAGUAUGGAAUCAGCAAUAUGUGAAGUAAAGCUUCUCUGUAUUGUACACCGUGCUGACAGGAGGGGAAGCCAGUACCGAAAAAUCCGGACUUAAUAUAAGUUACGGAUCAGUUGUAGUGAAGGUCAAAGAUGAUAACGAUGAGUUCCCAACUUAUGUUGCUAUGGUUGCAGCCCAAGAUGAUGCAACACGGUGCAAGGUUAUCUGCUAAACUUACCUCUGCAAAUCUGGAUGUUAUCCAACUGGAGCUUGGUGUGGUUGGUAUUUUUCUCAGUCUGUGCGGAUUAGGGUGGC